GCGGAAAUCCGCAACAAAGAGAUGGAUAAAAUCUCUACGAGAGCCAGAAAUACCUACCAGGCUCACCUCGACCUGCUGCAAAAGAAAAUGUCCCAACAAAUUUCCUCGGAUGACGAACUGACCCGCAAAGUGCACUUACAGAUUCAUACGAAAAGAAAUGAAGAGAGACAGGAUGCUUUGUCUAAAAUAGUGAAACUGGAGAAUGUGCGGCUUCAGUAUAAGAAUAGUAAAGCUCAAGUCCAGCUCUCCGGAGUCAAAGAGAGAGAGGACUCAGAGACAUAAAGAAUGUGAUAUCAGUGUUGUACAAGUACCCAGUGAUACUCGACACAUGACAUAGAUCUAGACAUGGAUAUACUUACUCUGUUUUCACAAUGUUUUGUAAAAUGCUUAACCUGUUUUCGAUGUUCCUUCGGAGUUGAAUAUAAUCUACUUCCUCGUCCAAACC
rnacentral:sRNA from 1 species